CAUUAGUUAAGAACAUAAAUUUAAGAAAAGCGAACACGCAGCAGAGAUCUUCACAUGUUAAAAGCAACUUAGCGGCAUAGCAUGGAACGGCACAUGUUUUGGUGUUCAGUUUGGUCAAAAUAACAGAGCUAAAAGAUUUGACCACGUCGGAAAUACAUCACUCAGCGAAUGGCACCUAAGAUAUUGUUCUUCGCUUUGUAUCAACACAAAAAUUAGCAAAACUUCGGAAAAAUACUAGAAAAUAGAGAAGGCGCUUUGGUUCACAACAUCUUUUGAACGAUGAGUCCCAUUUAAGUCUUCAGUCGAACAAUAGUUUAUUAACAACGCAAAAAUGCCCCAAGAACAAACAUCCCAUGAUGACCAAAUAUCAAUAAAAAUCCCAUGAUUGCCUUUGAUAUGACUCGACUCAGAAAUUUCCUGGAGAAAUAAUCACAAACAAAAAAAUGCUAUGUGUUCCUGGGUCCCUUGCGACCAUAAUACGUAAAUUUGGUCAAGUCGUCGAUUUGGCCAAGUCGCGUAUUGUCAUCGAUGUCUAGAAGUACUCUGAUGAUGUGUACGAGUUAAGAAACAACACAAAUUCAGCCAAUCAACAUACUGUUCCUUUGGACAUAUCGCGAAUAUCCUGUCCCACUCUUUGUAUCACUUCAAAUUUGAUCCAGAAUCUGGAUGCCAGAUUUCAAGCCGAAUGAUACCAAACCGAUCCAAACCGACUGAGAAAGGAAAUGAACAAGAAGGACAUGGUUUGGAUUGAAUUUGCAACGAUUCAGAUGAAUUGUUUGCAAACGUGCAGAAGAUAUCACGACAAUUAGAUGCAUCAGACUAUCAUGCACUAAUGCGACAGUCUACACUUUGCUGUUUUAUCAUCGAUUUGAUGAAAGCGCCUCAAUUUAUAACCUUCUUCAGAAAUAAUCAAUCGAAGACAGGUAGAUGAGACAAGGGAUUCCCGACAGAAAACUGAACACUAUUUCAUUAAUUGAUGGAAGCCGCUA